rnacentral:rRNA from 1 species
ACCCCUGUGGGGGCCUAAAUACAGCCAAGUCGAACCGAGAAAAGUCCCCUUUCGGGGGCCGAAUUAAAGUGCGAACGGUGAGUAACGCGUAGAUAACAUACCUUCAGUUGGGGGAUACCAGUCGAAAGAUUGGAUAAUACCGCAUAUGACCACAGUAUCCUGUGGAUACAGGGGUAAAAGAUUUAUCGCCUAAAGAUUGGUCUGCGUCCGAUUAGCUUGUUGUGGGGUAAAAAGCCUACCAAGCUGUGAUCGGUAGCUGGUCUGAGAGGAUGAUCAGCCACAUUGGGACUGAGACACGGCCCAAACUCCUACGGGAGGCAGCAGUAGGGAAUCUUGCGCAAUGGGGGAAACCCUGACGCAGCGACACCACAUGAGUGAUGAAGGCUCUAGGGUUGUAAAGCUCUGUUCUUGACGAACAAACAAAUGAUUAGUCAAGGAGAAAGGACCGGCUAACUUCGUGCCAGCAGCUGCGGUAAGACGAGGGGUCCAAGCGUUGUCCGGAAUUAUUGGGCGUAAAGCGGGUGUAGGCGGUUUUGCAAGUCAGAAGUGAAAGCCUCAGGCUCAACCUGAGAAGUGCUUUUGAUACUGCAUAACUUGAGUUUGGAAGAGGGCAAUGGAAUUCCUGGUGUAGUGGUGAAAUGCGUAGAUAUCAGGAGGAAUACCAGAGGCGAAGGCGGUUGCCUGGUCCAAUACUGACGCUGAGAUCCGAAAGCGUGGGGAGCAAACAGGAUUAGAUACCCUGGUAGUC